rnacentral:rRNA from 1 species
AGAGAGAGACAUGCGCGCAUAUCAAUAAGCGGAGGAAAAGAAACUAACUAGGAUUCCCUCAGUAACGGCGAGUGAAGCGGGAAGAGCUCAAAUUUGAAAUCUUCAAGGUUCUACCUUGACGAAUUGUAGUUUAAAGAAGUGUUUUCUGUUGAAGUUUUGGUAAAAGUUCUUUGGAAUAGGACAUCAUAGAGGGUGAGAAUCCCGUAUUUGACCAUUAUUUCCAGCUUUGUGAUACACUUUCAAAGAGUCGGAUUGUUUGGGAAUGCAGUCCAAAAUGGGUGGUAAAUUUCAUCUAAAGCUAAAUACUGGCGAGAGACCGAUAGCGAACAAGUACCGUGAGGGAAAGAUGAAAAGAACUUUGAAAAGAGAGUUAAACAGUACGUGAAAUUGUCAAAAGGGAAGCGUUUGACACCAGUGUUGUUUUCUCGAAAAUCAAUUAAAAAAGGCAGGAUUUUGUGUUGUAUUGACUUUAUCAGCUUUCUGCACUCUUUUCUUGUCUUUUUUAAUGCACUUUUCGUUUAACAAGUCAACAUCAAUUUCUUUUGUUGUAAAAGGGUCAUUGGAAGGUGGCUUUCUUUUCGGAGAAAGUGUUUAUAGCCUUUGGCCUCUGCAAUCGGAGAGAUUGAGGUCUGCAGCGUAGAUCCUUCGGGGUUAGAUACAUUUGUGCUAAGUUAUAGCCUUUCAUAGACAACUUGUUGACUAUGAUCAGUCAUGUAGCUUACUCGCUUAUGCUAUUUUACCUACGCUUAGGAUGUUGAUGUGAUACUGCGAGC